UUUCAUUCAUUUUAUACUCUUGAUUUUGAACUUGCUGCAGUCUAGUUCCAAUUUCCAUUCGCUCCUUCUUUCAUCUAAAAGCAGUGGUCGAGGUGGACCCUGCUUCUGAAAGAUUAAUCCUCUUUUAUUAGAAACAUCAUCUAUUAAAAUUCAAUAGCAAUAAUGUCUAGUAAUUGGAAUAAUAGCCGUGGUAACGGCGGUUCCAAGUUUGGAGGAGGUGGAAAAUUCAGCAACGGUUCAUCUAAAUUUGGAAACGGUGGGUCGAAAUUUGGUGGAGGCGGCGGCGGUGGCGGAGGUCGAUUCGGUGGUUCAGGUGGCUUUGGAAGUAAAAAAGAUUUUACUGGAGGCCAGAAUAUGCGCCGGCCAAAUUGGGAGACAAUGUCUUUGCAACCAUUCAACAAGGAUUUUUACAACCCACACCCGACAGUGUUGGAAAGAUCUGCUUACGAAGUAGAAUCUUACAGAAAUCAACACGAGAUUACUGUUAGCGGUGUUGAAGUACCGAAUCCGAUCCAGCAUUUUGAAGAAGCUAACUUUCCCGAUUAUGUGUGUCAAGCUAUCAAAGGUCAAGGUUACAAGGAUCCUACUCCGAUUCAAGCUCAAGGUUGGCCUAUUGCCAUGUCGGGGAAGAAUUUGGUCGGCGUAGCUCAAACAGGGUCGGGAAAGACUUUGGCUUACAUUCUGCCUGCCACUGUACAUAUUAACAACCAACCGCCAAUCAGACGCGGUGACGGACCCAUUGCUUUAGUCCUCGCACCAACAAGAGAACUUGCACAACAAAUCCAACAAGUUGCUUCUGAUUUUGGGAAUACGUCAUAUGUUCGCAACACGUGUGUGUUUGGUGGGGCACCGAAGAGAGAGCAAGCCCGUGACUUAGAGAGGGGUGUGGAGAUUGUCAUUGCUACACCUGGUAGACUCAUUGACUUCUUAGAGAAGGGAACUACGAACCUUCAGAGAUGCACAUAUUUAGUUCUUGACGAAGCUGACCGCAUGUUGGACAUGGGAUUUGAGCCACAAAUUAGAAAAAUUAUUGAACAAAUUCGCCCAGACAGGCAGACACUCAUGUGGUCCGCCACAUGGCCUAAAGAGGUUAGAAAACUUGCUGAAGAUUACUUAGGUGAUUAUGUCCAAAUUAAUAUUGGAUCAUUGCAAUUGUCAGCAAAUCACAAUAUACUACAGAUUGUAGAUGUGUGCCAAGAACACGAAAAGGAAAACAAGUUAAAUGUAUUACUUCAAGAAAUUGGACAAAGUCAGGAACCUGGCGCAAAAACUAUUAUCUUUGUUGAGACCAAGAGGAAAGCAGAAAACAUUACCAGGAACAUUAGGCGGUAUGGUUGGCCAGCUGUCUGCAUGCAUGGUGACAAAACACAGCAAGAGCGAGAUGAAGUAUUAUAUCAAUUUAAAGAGGGUCGUGCCAGUAUACUAGUUGCUACAGAUGUUGCUGCUAGAGGACUAGAGGCACUGGCGGAAAGUUAUUGUGUUCUAUCAGAUUACUGCCUAAAGUUAAAAGGCAUGUUACUGCUUUGGAUUUGUAGAUGAGACCUUGUCUGAUGCAGUGGUAUUAUUAUAUCAUGAGAAUGCAAUAACUCGUCAUUAUUAUGGUGCCUCAAAUGUGCCUUUCACUAUGAUUGGACCCGAGGCCGGAAAGCUUGAUAGUUUGUCCGUAUUUGCGGAUACACUUGAGAGUGGAAAACCUGGUGAUGCACUACACAGUAAUUAAAAACCUGAGAAGUAAGAGAACUAAAUAAGACAUUGAGAUGGUGCAUCGUUGAAAAACUUGACCACGGGUUGAAUUGAUCGGCAAGAGGUCAAGGGUUUUCUGUUUCGGCCAAAAUGGAGUUUUCAAGGGGGCUAUGAAUAGUUUGAAACCUUGAAUUAUAAUAAACAUCAAUGCCCUUAAUAAGACUCCAGGGUUCUGAGUGAGAGGCAAAUAUUGACUUAUUUGGUACAUUUCUCUGUGUAACUCAUUCAUAUGUUGAUGGCAUUAAGUAUGUUAUUAACUUUGAUUACCCAAAUUCCUCUGAGGACUAUAUUCACCGAAUAGGCAGGACAGGCAGAUCAAAAUCAAAAGGCACAUCAUACGCCUUUUUCACACCAUCAAAUUCCCGCCAAGCUAAAGACCUUGUAUCAGUUCUCCAAGAAGCCAAUCAA
rnacentral:misc_RNA from 1 species